rnacentral:rRNA from 1 species
UCAUGAUGAACGCUAGCUACAGGCUUAACACAUGCAAGUCGAGGGGCAGCAUGGUCUUAGCUUGCUAAGGCCGAUGGCGACCGGCGCACGGGUGAGUAACACGUAUCCAACCUGCCGUCUACUCUUGGACAGCCUUCUGAAAGGAAGAUUAAUACAAGAUGGCAUCAUGAGUCCGCAUGUUCACAUGAUUAAAGGUAUUCCGGUAGACGAUGGGGAUGCGUUCCAUUAGAUAGUAGGCGGGGUAACGGCCCACCUAGUCUUCGAUGGAUAGGGGUUCUGAGAGGAAGGUCCCCCACAUUGGAACUGAGACACGGUCCAAACUCCUACGGGAGGCAGCAGUGAGGAAUAUUGGUCAAUGGGCGAGAGCCUGAACCAGCCAAGUAGCGUGAAGGAUGACUGCCCUAUGGGUUGUAAACUUCUUUUAUAAAGGAAUAAAGUCGGGUAUGGAUACCCGUUUGCAUGUACUUUAUGAAUAAGGAUCGGCUAACUCCGUGCCAGCAGCCGCGGUAAUACGGAGGAUCCGAGCGUUAUCCGGAUUUAUUGGGUUUAAAGGGAGCGUAGAUGGAUGUUUAAGUCAGUUGUGAAAGUUUGCGGCUCAACCGUAAAAUUGCAGUUGAUACUGGAUAUCUUGAGUGCAGUUGAGGCAGGCGGAAUUCGUGGUGUAGCGGUGAAAUGCUUAGAUAUCACGAAGAACUCCGAUUGCGAAGGCAGCCUGCUAAGCUGCAACUGACAUUGAGGCUCGAAAGUGUGGGUAUCAAACAGGAUUAGAUACCCCUGGUAGUCCACACGGUAAACGAUGAAUACUCGCUGUUUGCGAUAUACUGCAAGCGGCCAAGCGAAAGCGUUAAGUAUUCCACCUGGGGAGUACGCCGGCAACGGUGAAACUCAAAGGAAUUGACGGGGGCCCGCACAAGCGGAGGAACAUGUGGUUUAAUUCGAUGAUACGCGAGGAACCUUACCCGGGCUUAAAUUGCAGAUGAAUUACGGUGAAAGCCGUAAGCCGCAAGGCAUCUGUGAAGGUGCUGCAUGGUUGUCGUCAGCUCGUGCCGUGAGGUGUCGGCUUAAGUGCCAUAACGAGCGCAACCCUUGUUGUCAGUUACUAACAGGUUCCGCUGAGGACUCUGACAAGACUGCCAUCGUAAGAUGUGAGGAAGGUGGGGAUGACGUCAAAUCAGCACGGCCCUUACGUCCGGGGCUACACACGUGUUACAAUGGGGGGUACAGAGGGCCGCUACCACGCGAGUGGAUGCCAAUCCCCAAAACCUCUCUCAGUUCGGACUGGAGUCUGCAACCCGACUCCACGAAGCUGGAUUCGCUAGUAAUCGCGCAUCAGCCACGGCGCGGUGAAUACGUUCCCGGGCCUUGUACACACCGCCCGUCAAGCCAUGGGAGCCGGGGGUACCUGAAGUGCGUAACCGCGAGGAGCGCCCUAGGGUAAAACUGG